UACAGAGGGGGCAAGCGUUAAUCGGAAUUACUGGGCGUAAAGCGUGCGUAGGCGGUUUUGUAAGUCUGUCGUGAAAUCCCCGGGCUCAACCUGGGAAUUGCGAUGGAGACUGCAAGGCUAGAAUCUGGCAGAGGGGGGUAGAAUUCCAGGUGUAGCGGUGAAAUGCGUAGAUAUCCGGAGGAACACCAGUGGCGAAAGCGGCUUCCUGGACCGACACUGACGCUGAUGCGCGAAAGCUAGGGGAGCAAACGGG
rnacentral:rRNA from 1 species